rnacentral:rRNA from 1 species
ACCUAAGCUGAGGCCGAAAGGCGUAGGUGAUGGACAACAGGUUGAUAUUCCUGUACUACCGAUAACCGUUUGAGAGAAGGGAUGACACAGUAGGAUAAGCUAAGCACACUGUUGGUUAUGUGUGCCCAAGCAUUGAGGCAGUCAAAGUAGGCAAAUCCGCUUUGAUAAUGCUGGGAUGUGAUGGGGAGCGAAAUUUAGUAGCGAAGUAGCUGAUUUCACACUGUCAAGAAAAGUCUCUAUCGAGGUUAAAGGUACCCGUACCGCAAACCGACACAGGUGGGUGAGGAGAGUAUCCUAAGGCCAGCGAGAGAACUGUUGUUAAGGAACUCGGCAAAAUGACCCCGUAACUUAGGGAUAAGGGGUGCCACCAUCAGGUGGCCGCAGAGAAUAGGCCCAAGCGACUGUUUACCAAAAACAUAGGUUUCUGCUAAGUCGCAAGACGAUGUAUAGGAGCUGACGCCUGCCCGGUGCUGGAAGGUUAAGGGGAUCUGUUAGAGCAAUCGAAGCAGUGAACUUAAGCCCCAGUAAACGGCGGCCGUAACUAUAACGGUCCUAAGGUAGCGAAAUUCCUUGUC